UACAGAGGUCCCAAGCGUUGUUCGGAUUCACUGGGCGUAAAGGGUGCGUAGGCGGUCGGGUAAGUCUGAUGUGAAAUCUCUCAGCUUAACUGUGAAACUGCAUUGGAUACUAUCCGGCUAGAGGAAUGGAGGGGAGACUGGAAUACUUGGUGCAGCAGUGAAAUGCGUAGAUAUCAAGUGGAACACCAGUGGCGAAGGCGAGUCUCUGGACAUUUCCUGACGCUGAGGCACGAAAGCCAGGGGAGCAAACGGG
rnacentral:rRNA from 1 species